CAGCGAGAAACGUCCUCGGGAGCGGACUGUUGUGAAAAAUACUCGUCGGUCACUGAACACGGUGGCUGCUUGCACGGCUUCUUCCCUGGUCCAGGAGUCACAACAGCAAAAUAAUGUCACAUUUCUUUGGAAUUAGUGCCAGUAUGAUGGGUGCCAGGACACUGCAGGGACAUGGAGCACAGAGUCAGCUGCGGAUUGUUUUCGUCGUGAUCAGGCUGGCAAACUUGAUGUGCCUCCGCAGUCCUCCCUGGCAUAGAUUGACACAGCCCUGGACCCUUUUGGCAUUACACCUUCCUCAGCUUUCAGCUUCUUGGAACUGGAUGCUUCUUAAAGUGCUGCUGUGAAAGUAAAUACUGGCAAAAUGAAGAGGACAGCAGAUACCAUCUCUGUUCCAUGUGAGCUAAUAACCUGCCAAGGUGGACUCUCUGUUACAUUUUCUUCCAAAGUAUGUUCCAAAGUAUGUUCUUCCAAAGUACUGUGGUGUAGUCUCUCAAGACUUAUAAUCAAGCAAAAGCUGCUGAAAUAUCAGCAUCCAAUAUCAACUGCCUAAAAGAGCUGUUGUCACCUAGUGUCACCUAUAUCGUCACACUCUCUCUUAUUAGUCAAUACCUGGUGUGCAAGUAGGUACCCUUAUCUUCCAGGUGUCUGUGAAACAGAAUGGGAACUGAUGUUAAGAAAGAAAUCAAUUUUAACUGUUGUUGUUUAAUGUGACUACUAGUAACGUACCCCCAAGACAUAGUAACAACAUCUACCAUUGAACUGUGCAAUCUCUGUUUGCCUCCCGUGGCAUUUCAGAAAUUAACAGUGGGAGCCUCAGUUGAUCUAUUAGGAGUUUGCAGAGCUAACACCAUCAGCAGAACUUGAAAAUAAGGCAUCUUUCCCAUGCCAUGGCCUCCCUGAAGAAUGCCCCCCCAAAAUAAUUAAAAAAAAAGAAAAAAAGAAGAAAAAAAAAAAGAAAAAAGAAAAGGCAGCUAAGUAGGAGAACAGACCUACACAUAGGCAUCUGGAUGGGUUUAAAGGCCAGGCCAUCAAUUAAAGCUCCAGAUCAGUUUCCUGUGCUAUUCCACCCACAGGUUUGAUUGAACAGGGCAAAAUAACGACCAAAGAUAGAUGUAAUGGAAAUGGUCAUGCAACAAAUGAAGUGGCAACAACAGCAAAAAAUAUACUUUCCAAACAAAACUCUGAACCAAGCUUGUAUGUUGGCAAUACAACUUGGGGAGAGGAGGUUAGAGAAAAACCACCUGUUGGAGAACAGCAGCCCUCUGUUCCUCAGGGCUUGCUCCUGGUUGUCCUGUGGUGCUCAAGCUAUGGUCUGCCCAGGCAACUGCAGGCAGCUGCGGCCGCCAGCUGUAUCCAAGGAGCUCCCCAGAACGGACCCAGCUCAGCAGCCGUUAAAACAGUACCCUGAAGACAUGACUCAGUUGUUGGUCUGCAUGCCAUCAAGCUCCAGGGAGAAUAAGCACUGAAUAAAGGGAAGAAUAAUCUCUUCUCUUUUGACUCACUUUAUCCUGUUCUCUCUAUUAGAUCUCUCUCUUCUCCUGUGAUUAAUUCUCAACGUGGUAUUUUUAAUAGUUGUAUAUUUCAUUUGCAUUUGAUACUUAAAGAGGGAAGAAGGAUAAAAG